rnacentral:lncRNA from 1 species
UCUUCACUGCAAGGCACUCAUAAUCGCAACUCUCAUCUUACAAACAGAUGAGCCAGCACCACCUGACGCACCCAAACCAAAGCCAAGUCCAAACCCCAAGCAGCCUGAUUCCACUGCUCAUUGAAACAUUUUACGGAGGAACAUUUCUGCACUGACAACAGCUUUAAAUAUUUAAUUAGUGCUUUGAAGGAACAGAAGAGUCUGUGACGCAGAAGGGAAAUGAAAAGGAAAGCUUAGUCUCCAUUUAGUUAUGUUUCUCAUAAAUAUUUUCCCAGGGGCAAAGAUGUUCUCUUUAAUAUUAAAAAUACAAAUAAACACUUGACUUCUCAUUAGCCCA